rnacentral:lncRNA from 1 species
AACAGCUGACGUGUCCCUUCACUGCCCCCUCUCCAAGAACAAGGAAGGACACUCACCGGCUGCCGUGCCACAGCACGGGGGCACCCACCAGGCGGAGGAGAAGAUGGUGGCUAUCACCUCGUCCGGGAAGAGCGUGACAUUCCGCUGGAUCUGCAGCAGGUUGAGCACCAGAGCCAGGACCACGCCAAAUGAGAAGAGCACGAGGCUCCGCUGCACCAGGUCGUGGUGCCAGCUGCCGGGUCGUGCGCUGAAGCCUGCGGUUCCCUCUCGCUGGCCCCGGGGCGCGGGCUCGGGCUCGGGGGCUCCGGGGCCCUGCGGACAGAGGGCCGCCGCAAUCAUGCCUCGCGGGAGGCUGUACGGCCUCGCAGCGCCCGCGCUUGGGUAGCUCCAGACGUGAUCGUGCAGCCUGGGCAUCGGCGGCUAGGCACACCGUGAGAGGUGCACGCCACCAAAGCACGCGUAGCGCGCCCGGACGGCCCAGGAGCGGCCG